AGUAUUGAUUUCUUAAAACAAAAAGCAGUGCUGCAGUAAUUUCAGCAGCUGGCAUUGUUGGUUUUCAUGCAGAUGUGCUGGUUAAACUUGGUAUCGCUGCUGAAACAAUU
rfam:Calypte anna contig59395, whole genome shotgun sequence.